CCAUCCGACGCGCUGACGCUGUAUGGUGGAUGGCUUGGCUUGGAAGACGAAGAAGGGCGUGGCAAGCUGCGAUAUGCCUUGGGUAAGAGCAUGCAUCUGUUGAUCCGAGGAUUCCCGAAUGCGACUUCGUAGGAGAAUCCCUUCGGGGCUUCUCCUGUUCCCUUUGGGGAACGUGAACCUCUGCGAAAGGAAACAUCUGAGUAGCGAGUGGAAAAGAAAUCAAUUGAGAUACCGUGAGUAGCGGCGAGCGAAAGCGGCAUAGUCCAAACCGAAUCGCUGCAGUAAUGCAGUAGAGAUGUGGGGUGUGCUUGCAGCGUUUGCAACCCAAUCUGACCAUAGCGGAAGUCUGCUGGAAAGCAGCACCGUAGAGGGUGAUAGUCCCGUAUGCAUUGGAAGGAACGGGGUUGUGCUGCAAACCGAGUACUUGGCCUUGGCAGUGGCUAAGGAAGACGGGGGAAAGCGGCCUCCAAGACUAAACACUAUCCAAGACCGAUAGCGCAAUAGUACCGCGAGGGAAAGCUGAAAAGUACCCCGAAAGGGGUGUGAAAAGCGCCUGAAACCAUCCAGUUACAGACGUGUAUUGCAUGAAAGGGCCAGGACGUUGCCUGAUGAUGCCCGCAAGGGCGUCUGACGGUAGCGAACUAGACCCAGUGUGAUACAUUCCGUCUAGAAACACGGGCCGGGGAGUUUACGGUCAUGGCGAGCUUAAGGGUGACAAGCCCGGAAGCGAAGGGAAACCGACAUGCACGCAUCUGGCUUGACCAGUGAGGUGCGAGGUCUGAAAGGGCCUGGAGUCAUGGCAGUAAGACUAGAAACCAGACGAUCGUGUCUCGAGUAGGAUGAAGCCGAGCGAAAGCUUGGUGGAGGUCCGAAAGGGUCUUGACGUUCAAUUCAGUCCCCUAACUCGAGACAAGGGGCCAAAAGCCAAUCUAGUCUGGUGAUUGCUAGUUCCCAACGAAGCAGAUCCUAGUCUGGCCUGGACAGAUGUCGCUGACGCUGUAGAGCACCAAUGGGAAGCCAAGGGUCCGAAAGGGCCCAGCUUGCUUUUGAACUCCGAAUGUGUCAGCGCAGUAGAAGUCCGGAGACGGGUUUAUGUGGGGUAAGCCUCAUAACCAAGAGGGGGACAACCCAGACUAAAGUUAAGGCCCCCAAAUUUUGGCUAAGUGUCAAACAAAAGAGCGUCUUUGAGCAAAGACAGCAGGGAGGUAGGCUUAGAAGCAGCCACCCUUCAAAAAGUGCGUAACAGCUUACCUGCCGAGCUCAGAGGCCUCGAAAAUGGACGGGGCUAAAGCCAAGUGCCGAUACUUUAGACAACAAGCAGGAGCUUGUUUGUGGUAGUUGGGCGUAGAGGUUGGGUAGAAGCAGGGUCGUGAGAUCCUGUGGACCAUUCUCUAGUGCAGAUCCCGGUGGUAGUAGCAGCGUAGUCGGGUGAGAAUCCCGACCGUCGCAAGGGCAAGGUUUUCCUGGCAACGCGUCGUCGACCAGGAGUAAGUCGGUCCUAAGUGUAAUCCCAACGGCGUUACACGAAGAGGGAAACCCGUUAAUAUUCGGGUACCGCCUUGGUGUCGUUAUUGUCGAAUCACUUUUGCCUUGAGGUAGGGUGAGCAAGGUUGUCGCCUUGUUCAAUUGUUCGAGAGUGGGGGAGUGUCGUAAUGACGAGAACUCAUUCGAGACAAGAAUAGCAGGCCAUAUGGUCUGUUCACCUGAUCCUGAGGGACAUUGAAAGGAGUGGUUCUAAGACACCGGGGUGUCCGUACCGAGAUCCGACACAGGUGCCCCUAGGUGAGAAGCCUCAGACGUGUCGGGUGUACUGUAGGUAAGGGAACUCGGCAAAUCAGCCCCGUAACUUAGGAAUAAGGGGUGCCUGCGAUUUUAGUGAGAAACUGGAAUCGCAGGUUGCAAUAACUAGGGGGUCCCGACUGUUUAAUAAAAACACAGUUGACUGCUAAUCCGAAAGGACUUGUACAGUCAAUGAAUCCUGGCCAGUGGCGGUACCUAAAACCUGGGUUCAACCGGGCUAAGGGCCGCUUAACGCCGGGAGUAACUCUGACUCUCUUAAGGUAGCCAAAUGCCUUGUCGGGUGAGUUCCGACGUGCAUGAAUGGACCAACGAGGGCCCCACUGUCCCUAUCUGCGACCCGGCGAACCCACGUAAGGUGGACGAACAGUCCACCAACUUCCAUCGGGGAGAGAAGUCCCUGUGGAGCUUUACUGCAGCUUGUCGCUGCGAUGCGGUUCUGAUUGCAGAGUGUAGUCGGGAGCCGUCGAGAGAGGCCUUCCGGGGUCUCUAGAGGCAAAAGUGUAACACCGGCCUCUCAGAACUGCGUCGCUAACCUCGUCAGAGGAACACCGGCAGGUGGGCAGUUCGGCUGGGGCGGCACCCCCUUGAAAAAGUAUCGAGGGGGCCCAAAGGUUGGCUCAGGCGGGUCAGAACUCCGCCGUAGAGGGCAAGGCCAAAAGCCAGCUUGACUGUAUAUUCAAACGCGAAAUAUUCAGAGGCGAAAGCCUGGCCUAGCGAUCCUUUGUGUCCUCACAGUUGGAGGCCAAAGGUGACAGAAAAGUUACCCCAGGGGUAACAGGCUCGUCGCGGGCGAGAGCUCCAAUCGACCCCGCGGUUUGGUACCUCAGAAUGUAUCAAUCUGCAUGGGGUAGGACAACAGCAAUGUUGAUCCUAGUAUCGGCUUAUAACGGUGGAACCCUCCGCUAAUUUUAGGAACGGGAGAUGCUCUCUAGAGCAUCAAGAGCCAAGCGGAUUUGUUUAGGGCAAUACCGUGGGAAGUCCAGCAAGUUGCUUCAGCAAGAAUCUGAAAUCUAACAAGCAACGCUGUGACCCCGUAACGACUGAGGAUCUUUGAUCCAAUGAGAUAGCAAACGUGUGCUAUCACACGCCGACUCCUCUUUAGCUGAAAGAGGAUGGAGAUAUAGUCUACAACUCUUGGUAACAAGAGAGAUGAAUUGUGCGAUGUCGGCUCUUCCCAUCCCGGUCCUGCAGCAGGGGCCAAGGGUGGGGCUGCUCGCCCAUUAAAGGGGAACGUGAGCUGGGUUUAGACCGUCGUGAGACAGGUCGGUCUCUACCUGAUGGAAGCGGCGGCCAUCUGAGGGGAAGUUGUCCCUAGUACGAGAGGAACAGGGCAACGCGGCCUCUGGCAUACCGGUUCUCCGACAGGAGAAUAGCCGGGCAGCUAAGCCGUCUUAGAUAAGAGCUGAAGGCAUCUAAGCUCGAAGCUAGUCCCGAGAAAAGAUGACCAUCCGCUAUCUGUGUCCUCGCAAGGGGAUGCGGGUGCGGUGAAGAGCUGUCAUAGAAGAUGACGUUGAUAGGAGAGAGGUGUACGCUGGAAGGCUACGGCCGACCAGUUCAGCCUGCUCUUACUAAUCGCUCAAAGCGUUGGGAUA
rnacentral:rRNA from 1 species